GUAGGGAAUCUUCGGCAAUGGGGGCAACCCUGACCGAGCAACGCCGCGUGAGUGAAGAAGGUUUUCGGAUCGUAAAACUCUGUUGUUAGAGAAGAACGUUAAGUAGAGUGGAAAGCUCAUCAAGUGACGGUAACUACCCAGAAAGGGACGGCUAACUACGUGCCAGCAGCCGCGGUAAUACGUAGGUCCCGAGCGUUGUCCGGAUUUAUUGGGCGUAAAGCGAGCGCAGGUGGUUUAUUAAGUCUGGUGUAAAAGGCAGUGGCUCAACCAUUGUAUGCAUUGGAAACUGGUAGACUUGAGUGCAGGAGAGGAGAGUGGAAUUCCAUGUGUAGCGGUGAAAUGCGUAGAUAUAUGGAGGAACACCGGUGGCGAAAGCGGCUCUCUGGCCUGUAACUGACACUGAGGCUCGAAAGCGUGGGGAGCAAACAGGAUUAGAAACCCCAGUAGUCC
rnacentral:rRNA from 1 species